GUGCGGCAGUUGACUGUGUGUGUGUGAGUUAAUGAAACAGGGGUCAGUAGCAGGGGGCUUGGUUGCAUUGGUGAGCAUAAAUAUUUUACUCUCUUCUCAGAUUUCUCUUUGUUCAUGAAGUUACCAGCUGCCAAGCACUCUAAUGAACAUGUGAAAUAAAAUAGGAGGACAAAGAAUUCAGUGCUUUAGAGGAGACAGGUACAUAGACACUGCCGGUUUACCACGUUAAUAAGCAUGCACAGAGAGAAAGCGUGCUCCGCUGCAUGUUAAGUAGGAGUGGACGACUACCAAAAACACAUUUAUGACAAAAGGAUGAGCAUGGGAAAACCUAAAGACAGAGCUGAGCGAAAAUUACCGACCAUCUAAAACUACAGAGUGAAGAAAAGUGGAAAAAAAGUAUUGUGUGAGCUCAUUAUGGAAGGAAGGAUGUCACAGUUCAACAGAGCGUCAAAAGACAAAUCUGAUGGAAAAGAAAGAAAGGGAAGAACAGCACAGAGACAAAAGAGAAAAGGAGCUAAAAAUAUCAGUACUGCCGGUUGCUCAAAGGAGGCUGGUGAGAGGCUUCCUCUUAUUGGCUCUUAGAGACCAG
ensembl:lncRNA